GAUGAACGCUGGCGGCGUGCCUAAUACAUGCAAGUCGAGCGAACAGACGAGGAGCUUGCUCCUCUGACGUUAGCGGCGGACGGGUGAGUAACACGUGGAUAACCUACCUAUAAGACUGGGAUAACUUCGGGAAACCGGAGCUAAUACCGGAUAAUAUAUUGAACCGCAUGGUUCAAUAGUGAAAGACGGUUUUGCUGUCACUUAUAGAUGGAUCCGCGCCGCAUUAGCUAGUUGGUAAGGUAACGGCUUACCAAGGCAACGAUGCGUAGCCGACCUGAGAGGGUGAUCGGCCACACUGGAACUGAGACACGGUCCAGACUCCUACGGGGGGCAGCAGUAGGGAAUCUUCCGCAAUGGGCGAAAGCCUGACGGAGCAACGCCGCGUGAGUGAUGAAGGUCUUCGGAUCGUAAAACUUUGUUAUUAGGGAAGAACAAAUGUGUAAGUAACUAUGCACGUCUUGACGGUACCUAAUCAGAAAGCCACGGCUAACUACGUG
rnacentral:rRNA from 1 species